AUGUUAGAAAGAUGGAGACCGGAAACACAUAUGUUUCAUCUUCCAAUCCGUGAAUGUACAAUAACCUUGGAGGAUGUACGUAUGUUGUUCGAUCUCCGUAUAUAUGGUAAGGUUGUUAAUAACCCUACUCAAUUAGGCAGUGAUGUCUAUAUGGAAAAUUUAGGAGUGAAACCUUCAAGGGAGGAUAUAAUUAAGGGUUCGGUAAAAAUAAAAUGGCUACAAAAAUUAUUAGAAGAGUGUAAAGAAAAGGUUGCACCAUCGUAUGAGCAUAAAAUUCUUCAUGCAAAAAUAUAUAUUUAA